rnacentral:rRNA from 1 species
AGCGAACGCUGGCGGCAGGCUUAACACAUGCAAGUCGAGCGGGCAUAGCAAUAUGUCAGCGGCAGACGGGUGAGUAACGCGUGGGAACGUACCUUUUGGUUCGGAACAACUGAGGGAAACUUCAGCUAAUACCGGAUAAGCCCUUACGGGGAAAGAUUUAUCGCCGAAAGAUCGGCCCGCGUCUGAUUAGCUAGUUGGUGAGGUAAUGGCUCACCAAGGCGACGAUCAGUAGCUGGUCUGAGAGGAUGAUCAGCCACAUUGGGACUGAGACACGGCCCAAACUCCUACGGGAGGCAGCAGUGGGGAAAAUUGGACAAUGGGCGCAAGCCUGAUCCAGCCAUGCCGCGUGAGUGAUGAAGGCCCUAGGGUUGUAAAGCUCUUUUGUGCGGGAAGAUAAUGACGGUACCGCAAGAAUAAGCCCCGGCUAACUUCGUG